rnacentral:lncRNA from 1 species
GUUCAGAGAGAAAGUAGAGUAGCCAAUAAAAAUGAGUGUCAUGAUUAAACCUAAUAUGGUCUCUUUGUUAUAGGUUCAUGUAAACACACACACACAGAGUAUAUAAUUGGCCUUUGAACAAAGGGGCUUUGAACUAUGCAGGUCUGCCUAUACACAGAUUUUCUUCCAUCUCUGCCACCUUUGAGAUCAUAAGACCAACCUCUCCUCUUCCUCCUUCUCCUCAGCUACUCAGUAUGAAGAGGACAAGGAUGAAGACCUUUAUGAUUAUCCUCUUCCACUUCAUGAAUUACUGUGACUAAGUUGGUUGGAGGUUGUAACACCAUCAUUCCAUUGCCUCUCGCUGCUCUGCUGUUGCUUUCCACCAGCGUAAAAUCAAUUAAGGCCUCGUGAAAUGUGGAGCAGAGAAUUGGAUAGCCAUGUCAUGCCUACACAACUGUGAAAUAAGGAUCCUGCACACACCCUAGAGAUUAGUGGAAAGUAAACUCAGCGGAGCGUCUGGAACACCUCCACUAACUUCUUAAAAGAUGCUGCUGAUUCACUGAUUCUCAAAAAUUAUAAUUCAAUUUUCUCAGCUUUUAUCCUGUAACAAUCAAUUUGUAUAGUAAAUGAAAGCCAAAAGCAUAUUCGUUUUAUUUACAAGGAUGAUAAAAUAGAAACAUCAUUCAUCUAUUUCCAUUCCUGAACUUUCAUGCCUGAUUCCUCUUUAUACUCACUUUCAUCCUCUGUGGAUACUUUAAUAUCCAUUUUAAUCCCUCUGUGAGAAAUUCUGCUAAAUUACUUUACUCUGUAGGGUCAGAGUAUUCAAGAUAAAACAUUCCUGGAAAAAUGUAUUUCUACCAGGAAAAGACAGACUUAAAAAAGGAGGGGGAGACAGCAGGGUUAGAGGAAAACUGUGUGCCCACACUUUAGUAGAAAUUACCGAAACCACAGCAUGCAUGGGGAAAUCUCCUUCUAUGGAUGAAUUACUAUAAUUGGUUCUCUAUAUUACUUGAAUUUUUCAUUUGGGCUUUUAAGCUAUAUUUAGAUAAAAGAAUUUGGGAAAUAUUAAGCUGUACUGCCACAAAUAUGAAUCAAAUAAAACUAUAUUUCUAAAAACC